rnacentral:rRNA from 1 species
CAGCCGCCGCGGUAAUACGUAGGUGGCAAGCGUUGUCCGGAAUUACUGGGCGUAAAGGGCUCGCAGGCGGUUUCUUAAGUCUGAUGUGAAAGCCCCCGGCUCAACCGGGGAGGGUCAUUGGAAACUGGGAAACUUGAGUGCAGAAGAGGAGAGUGGAAUUCCACGCGUAGCGGUGAAAUGCGUAGAGAUGUGGAGGAACACCAGUGGCGAAGGCGACUCUCUGGUCUGUAACUGACGCUGAGGAGCGAAAGCGUGGGGAGCGAACAGGAUUAGAUACCCCGGUAGUCCCUGUCUCUUAUAC